rnacentral:rRNA from 1 species
UACGUAGGGUGCGAGCGUUGUCCGGAAUUAUUGGGCGUAAAGAGCUUGUAGGCGGUUUGUCGCGUCUGCUGUGAAAUUUCGGGGCUCAACCCCGAACUUGCAGUGGGUACGGGCAGACUAGAGUGUGGUAGGGAGACUGGAAGUUCCUGGUGUAGCGGUGAAAUGCGCAGAUAUCAGGAGGAACACCGAUGGCGAAGGCAGGUCUCUGGGCCACUACUGACGCUGAGAAGCGAAAGCAUGGGAGCGAACAGG